rnacentral:rRNA from 1 species
CCUUUUGUAUAAUGGGUCAGCGACUUAUAUUCUGUAGCAAGGUUAACCGAAUAGGGGAGCCGAAGGGAAACCGAGUCUUAACUGGGCGUUAAGUUGCAGGGUAUAGACCCGAAACCCGGUGAUCUAGCCAUGGGCAGGUUGAAGGUUGGGUAACACUAACUGGAGGACCGAACCGACUAAUGUUGAAAAAUUAGCGGAUGACUUGUGGCUGGGGGUGAAAGGCCAAUCAAACCGGGAGAUAGCUGGUUCUCCCCGAAAGCUAUUUAGGUAGCGCCUCGUGAAUUCAUCUCCGGGGGUAGAGCACUGUUUCGGCAAGGGGGUCAUCCCGACUUACCAACCCGAUGCAAACUGCGAAUACCGGAGAAUGUUAUCACGGGAGACACACGGCGGGUGCUAACGUCCGUCGUGAAGAGGGAAACAACCCAGACCGCCAGCUAAGGUCCCAAAGUCAUGGUUAAGUGGGAAACGAUGUGGGAAGGCCCAGACAGCCAGGAUGUUGGCUUAGAAGCAGCCAUCAUUUAAAGAAAGCGUAAUAGCUCACUGGUCGAGUCGGCCUGCGCGGAAGAUGUAACGGGGCUAAACCAUGCACCGAAGCUGCGGCAGCGACGCUUAUGCGUUGUUGGGUAGGGGAGCGUUCUGUAAGCCUGUGAAGGUGUGCUGUGAGGCAUGCUGGAGGUAUCAGAAGUGCGAAUGCUGACAUAAGUAACGAUAAAGCGGGUGAAAAGCCCGCUCGCCGGAAGACCAAGGGUUCCUGUCCAACGUUAAUCGGGGCAGGGUGAGUCGACCCCUAAGGCGAGGCCGAAAGGCGUAGUCGAUGGGAAACAGGUUAAUAUUCCUGUACUUGGUGUUACUGCGAAGGGGGGACGGAGAAGGCUAUGUUGGCCGGGCGACGGUUGUCCCGGUUUAAGCGUGUAGGCUGGUUUUCCAGGCAAAUCCGGAAAAUCAAGGCUGAGGCGUGAUGACGAGGCACUACGGUGCUGAAGCAACAAAUGCCCUGCUUCCAGGAAAAGCCUCUAAGCAUCAGGUAACAUCAAAUCGUACCCCAAACCGACACAGGUGGUCAGGUAGAGAAUACCAAGGCGCUUGAGAGAACUCGGGUGAAGGAACUAGGCAAAAUGGUGCCGUAACUUCGGGAGAAGGCACGCUGAUAUGUAGGUGAAGUCCCUCGCGGAUGGAGCUGAAAUCAGUCGAAGAUACCAGCUGGCUGCAACUGUUUAUUAAAAACACAGCACUGUGCAAACACGAAAGUGGACGUAUACGGUGUGACGCCUGCCCGGUGCCGGAAGGUUAAUUGAUGGGGUCAGCGCAAGCGAAGCUCUUGAUCGAAGCCCCGGUAAACGGCGGCCGUAACUAUAACGGUCCUAAGGUAGCGAAAUUCCUUGUCGGGUAAGUUCCGACCUGCACGAAUGGCGUAAUGAUGGCCAGGCUGUCUCCACCCGAGACUCAGUGAAAUUGAACUCGCUGUGAAGAUGCAGUGUACCCGCGGCAAGACGGAAAGACCCCGUGAACCUUUACUAUAGCUUGACACUGAACAUUGAGCCUUGAUGUGUAGGAUAGGUGGGAGGCUUAGAAGUGUGGACGCCAGUCUGCAUGGAGCCGACCUUGAAAUACCACCCUUUAAUGUUUGAUGUUCUAACGUUGACCCGUAAUCCGGGUUGCGGACAGUGUCUGGUGGGUAGUUUGACUGGGGCGGUCUCCUCCUAAAGAGUAACGGAGGAGCACGAAGGUUGGCUAAUCCUGGUCGGACAUCAGGAGGUUAGUGCAAUGGCAUAAGCCAGCUUGACUGCGAGCGUGACGGCGCGAGCAGGUGCGAAAGCAGGUCAUAGUGAUCCGGUGGUUCUGAAUGGAAGGGCCAUCGCUCAACGGAUAAAAGGUACUCCGGGGAUAACAGGCUGAUACCGCCCAAGAGUUCAUAUCGACGGCGGUGUUUGGCACCUCGAUGUCGGCUCAUCACAUCCUGGGGCUGAAGUAGGUCCCAAGGGUAUGGCUGUUCGCCAUUUAAAGUGGUACGCGAGCUGGGUUUAGAACGUCGUGAGACAGUUCGGUCCCUAUCUGCCGUGGGCGCUGGAGAACUGAGGGGGGCUGCUCCUAGUACGAGAGGACCGGAGUGGACGCAUCACUGGUGUUCGGGUUGUCAUGCCAAUGGCACUGCCCGGUAGCUAAAUGCGGAAGAGAUAAGUGCUGAAAGCAUCUAAGCACGAAACUUGCC